CAGGCGCCGCGGCCUGGACGCGUGGGUUCUACUCUGGACUCACACCAGGGACCACUUUGUGACGUUGCAUCCGUUCCUUCCCUUCGUCUCUUCCUCUCCGAGCCUCAGUUUCCCCAUCUUCCGAAAGGGGCCUGGCAUAUCCUGGGCAGGCAGAUGGUGGAUCAGAGGUAGUGAGGUGCCUACAAGGAAAUGCUCCCAACAGGGUGGCUUGGAGGAAUCCUCCUUCCUCAGCACUCAUGGGCCGGGCACUGUUCUAGGCCGUGGGGGUGGGGAUCGAGCAGUGGCCACACUGACAAAGCCCCUACCCUUGUGGAAGUGACAUUCUACUGAGGCCAUGGACACGUACAGUACCCAAUCUCCCACCCUCCACCUGCCAGAAUGACAGAGGCUCCCCCAUGGAGAUUCCUGGCAUGCCCAGCCCCACGUCUGGGUUGAGAGUAGUGACUCAGAAGAAAAUGAAGGCUACUGCUAGCAACCAAAUGAGGGGACACCCCUGGGAGACUGUGAUCCUCUCCUCCAGGCUACUUUCCCACUGGUGCCAGGAUUCCCCCAACGCCACACUGAGAACCCAG
rnacentral:lncRNA from 1 species